rnacentral:rRNA from 1 species
AGUCGAACGGACAAUUAUUUAUAGCUUUUGGCUAUAGGCAAUUGUUAGUGGCAGACGGGUGAGUAAUGCGUAGGAAUCUACCUAGUAGUACGGAAUAGCCAUUAGAAAUGAUGGGUAAUACUGUAUAAUCCCCGCGGGGGAAAGAUUUAUCGCUAUUAGAUGAGCCUACGUUAGAUUAGCUAGUUGGUAAGGUAAUGGCUUACCAAGGCUAUGAUCUAUAGCUGGUCUGAGAGGACGAUCAGCCACACUGGAACUGAGAUACGGUCCAGACUCCUACGGGAGGCAGCAGUGGGGAAUAUUGGACAAUGGGCGAAAGCCUGAUCCAGCUAUGCCGCGUGAGUGAAGAAGGCCUUCGGGUUGUAAAACUCUUUCAAUAGGGAAGAUAAUGACGGUACCUAUAGAAGAAGUCCCGGCAAACUCUGUGCCAGCAGCCGCGGUAAUACGGAGGGGGCAAGCGUUGUUCGGAAUUAUUGGGCGUAAAGGGCACGUAGGUGGACUAGUAAGUUAAAAGUGAAAUACCAAAGCUUAACUUUGGAGCGGCUUUUAAUACUGCUAGACUAGAGG